GCCUCUCUGGGUGUUUUGUGGUGAGCUCAGCUGAAGGAUGCAGAAUCCAGCUGUUUGAAACUAGGACUGAAAGAAAAGCAGAGUGUGUCACAUACAAUCCAAUCAGGCUGACACCUCUGAUCUCCAUUUAAAAGCUACAUGUGACAAAACUGUUUGAAAUUCUAUCUGAUUUUUUUCCUGUUUUUUCUAUUUGAACAGCAAUAAUUCAAGAGAAUAUGACAAAGCAAAAAAAAAAAAAAGCAAAAAAACCCCAUAGAGGUUAAGUAUGAAAUACAAAAAUAAUAAUAAUUAAUAAAACCCUGCAGACUAGCGUUAAAAUGCCAUAAAGCGCAAUUUACUAUUUAAGAUCAGAUGAUCCAAGGUGAGCUACAACUGAACCUAAACUUCACCAGGACCUUCUGCUUUGGCUCUCAGAGUUCUCUUGCCAUUGGCUUCUAACCUUAACCUGCGGGAGACUGCACUCACCUCUGCCAGCACCAAGUCCUACGAAAGGCACCACCAUUAUCUCAGCCUCACAGCGAACAGAGAGGUGACAGCGGUUGGUACGAUUGACUUCUGGCAAGGGUUGUCAUCCAGAAAGCAAGAUUAUGGUUAAGAAAUUCAAGGAAUUUAAAACUUUGUGCACCAGAAGAGUGCUGCUGGCAUCAGGCUAUAGACAUACUUCACAUUGAUGCAGGCAUGAGAAGACCCAGCUCACACUUCUGCUAAGCAGAAACAGGAAUUCAAAUACUACUGCCUGUGCUCAUCCUUCUAUUGAUUGGUUCUGUGCACUGUCCUUGUAAAGGACAUUUUUGUAGACCAUUCUUCUAAGACAACUAAAUGCCUCAUCAAUGCACUCACCAAUGAGUCAUCUUUAAAAAAAGAACGUAAUUAUUUUCUUUGACUCUAUGACAAGGAAUCUACCGGCCCAAUUUGACUCCUCUGAGUUGUCCUAAUGGAGUUGGUUUCUAAUUUGAUAGCAUUGCAAUAUUUGAUUUGUCAGAGUAUAGGCAGCCUCUUUGCAACUCAAUCUUAGUGCACAAGGCCCUCAAAAGAAUCCUGCAGAGUGGAGGUGAAAAUGUACUCCCUGGGGCUAUAAAGGAGUUUAGUUUUUUGUGCGUGUGCAAAUAUGCCCUUUGGCUUUUAUGAAUGCCUCCACAGGAUAGAAUUUGUAUGCAGUUCUCUGAUAAAAAUCAAAAGGUAUUCCAAGGAAAAAAGUCUCAUUUCUAAAUUGAAUGCAUGAAAAAAUUGUUCAUUCACUGACAGAAAGGCUACUGCGUGAUCUAUGCUUGUUGUUUACUUCUGUAAUUGCCACAUCAUUAAUUGCUAAUUAUCUUAUUCUAUCCCACAUCUGUGGAUGCAUGGUGGGAACCCUUAGUCUUUAUGUAUAUGUACAGAUUCUUUCAGCAUUGGAGGGGGCUGUCUACACUAUUACAGUGAUCAACAUUUUCUUUCACAGACAGAAAUUCUUUCACAGUUCAAGUGCAAUUGCUAUGGGUUUAGAAACAAAACAUCUCAGCAGUGCUGGUAUUUUCAAAGACUGGAUGCAGACCAAAUUCCUAGCAGAUAUUUCCAGUUUGGCUGAACCAAGGACAAAAUGUUUUGAAGGGAUGUUUUUUAUUCCCACUGAGUUUUUCAGGAAGAAGACAGUUUUUUG